GUGCCAGCCGCCGCGGUAAUACGGAGGGUGCAAGCGUUAAUCGGAAUCACUGGGCGUAAAGCGCGCGUAGGCCGCCUUCUAAGUCGGACGUGAAAGCCCUCGGCUCAACCGAGGAACUGCGUUCGAAACUGGGAGGCUUGAGUCCUGGAGAGGGUGGCGGGAUUCCGGGAGUAGGAGUGAAAUCCGUAGAUAUCCGGAGGAACACCGGUGGAGAAGGCGGCCACCUGGAGAGGUAAUGACGCUGAGGCG
rnacentral:rRNA from 1 species